rnacentral:rRNA from 1 species
AGGUAAGCUACUAAGAGCGAAUGGUGGAUGCCUUGACUGGUAAAGGCGAUGAAGGACGUACUAGACUGCGAUAAGCUACGGGGAGCUGUCAAGAAGCUUUGAUCCGUAGAUUUCCGAAUGGGGCAACCCAAUGUAUAGAGAUAUACAUUACCUAUAUAGGAGCGAACGAGGGGAAUUGAAACAUCUUAGUACCCUCAGGAAAAGAAAUCAAUAGAGAUUGCGUCAGUAGCGGCGAGCGAAAGCGCAAGAGGGCAAACCCAGUGCUUGCACUGGGGGUUGUAGGACUGCAAUGUGCAAGAGGUAAGUUUAGCAGAACAUUCUGGAAAGUAUAACCAUAGAGGGUGAUAGUCCCGUAUGCGAAAAACAAACCUUAGCUAGCAGUAUCCUGAGUAGGGCGGGACACGAGGAAUCCUGUCUGAAUCCGGGUCGACCACGAUCCAACCCUAAAUACUAAUACCAGAUCGAUAGUGCACAAGUACCGUGAGGGAAAGGUGAAAAGAACUGAGGUGAUCAGAGUGAAAUAGAACCUGAAACCAUUUGCUUACAAUCAUUCAGAGCCCUAUGUAGCAAUACAGGGUGAUGGACUGCCUUUUGCAUAAUGAGCCUGCGAGUUGUGGUGUCUGGCAAGGUUAAGCAAACGCGAAGCCGUAGCGAAAGCGAGUCUGAAUAGGGCGCUUAGUCAGAUGCUGCAGACCCGAAACGAAGUGAUCUAUCCAUGAGCAAGUUGAAGCUAGUGUAAGAACUAGUGGAGGACUGAACCCAUAGGCGUUGAAAAGCCCCGGGAUGACUUGUGGAUAGGGGUGAAAGGCCAAUCAAACUUCGUGAUAGCUGGUUCUCUCCGAAAUAUAUUUAGGUAUAGCGUUGUGUCGUAAUAUAAGGGGGUAGAGCACUGAAUGGGCUAGGGCAUACACCAAUGUACCAAACCCUAUCAAACUCCGAAUACCUUAUAUGUAAUCACAGCAGUCAGGCGGCGAGUGAUAAAAUCCGUCGUCAAGAGGGAAACAACCCAGACUACCAGCUAAGGUCCCUAAAUCUUACUUAAGUGGAAAACGAUGUGAAGUUACUUAAACAACCAGGAGGUUGGCUUAGAAGCAGCCAUCCUUUAAAGAAAGCGUAAUAGCUCACUGGUCUAGUGAUUUUGCGCGGAAAAUAUAACGGGGCUAAAGUAAGUACCGAAGCUGUAGACUUGCACACAACUUAGAUUAUUUAAGUUUAGAAUAUGAGAAACUAAGUUAUAUGUUUAGUUAUAUUUUUACUGAUUUUUAUAGAGUAAAGAUAGAAAUAAAACUUAGUAAAAUCAGUAAAAAUAUUCUUAGACUAAAGUUAAGUAGUUUAAGUUGUGUGCAAGUGGUAGGAGAGCGUUCUAUUUGCGUC